GAUGAACGCUGGCGGCGUGCUUAAUACAUGCAAGUCGAGCGAACAGACGAUGCUCUUGCUCCUCUGACGUUUGCCGCGCACGUGUGAGUAACACGUGGAUAACCUCCCUAUCAGACUGGGAUAACUUCGGGAAACCGGAGCUAAUCCCGGAUAAUCUCCUGAUCCGCAUGGUUCAAUAGUGAAAGACGGUUUUGCUGUCACUUAUAGCUGGAUCCCCGCCGCAUUGGCUGGUUGGGACGGUAAAGGCUUACCACGGCAACGAUGCGUAGACGACCGGACUGACUGAUCGGCGGCCCGAGAGCGGGACCACGGUCCAGGGUCCUACGGGAGGGAGCAGUAGGGAAUCGGACGCAAUGGGCGAAAACCUGACGGAGCGACGCGGCGUGAGUGAUGACAGUCUUGGGAGCGUAAAGACGUGUUAUUGGGUAAAAACAGAUGUGUAAGGAACUAUACAGGGAUUGACGGUACCUGGUAAGAAAGCCACGGCUAACUACGUG
rnacentral:rRNA from 1 species